rnacentral:rRNA from 1 species
GAUGAACGCUGGCGGCGUGCCUAAUACAUGCAAGUCGAGCGAAUGGAUUAAGAGCUUGCUCUUAUGAAGUUAGCGGCGGACGGGUGAGUAACACGUGGGUAUCCUGCCCAUAAGACUGGGAUAACUCCGGGAAAACGGGGCUAAUACCGGAUAACAUUUUGAACCGCAUGGUUCGAAAUUGAAAGGCGGCUUCGGCUGUCACUUAUGGAUGGACCCGGGUCGCAUUAGCUAGUUGGUGAGGUAACGGCUCACCAAGGCAACGAUGCGUAGCCGACUUGAGAGGGUGAUCGGCCACACUGGGACUGAGACACGGCCCAGACUCCUACGGGAGGCAGCAGUAGGGAAUCUUCCGCAAUGGACGAAAGUCUGACGGAGCAACGCCGCGUGAGUGAUGAAGGCUUUCGGGUCGUAAAACUCUGUUGUUAGGGAAGAACAAGUGCUAGUUGAAUAAGCUGGCACCUUGACGGUACCUAACCAGAAAGCCACGGCUAACUACGUGCCAGCCGCCGCCGUAA